CCUGAUUAACUCAUCUAGGCACUUUUGAACCCUCCCUACCUCAUCCCCAUGCUAUCAUCCCUCCCUAACAAUUGCUUGUCCCUGUGGGUGCCUUAACCAUGAAUGCAAAACUAGAGGCAUAGUUGAGACCACACAAAAAAUAUGGACCAUUAACAUCAAAAGAAAAAGCCAAAAAACAAAAAGGAAGAACUCCCAUUCCUGGGGAAAAGAGGAUUCUGGUGACUUCAAUGAAAAAUGACCAGAUGCCCCAGGAACACACUUCUGGAUCAGUCAGAAACAAAUUGCAGAGGCAGCAUGAAACUUAAAUUGAUCAACGGAAGAAUUCAAAGAUGCAGAAGAAGAGGUGCAAUAUGUAGUGACAACAGUUCUCUGAGUUGUCUGUCAACCUGAAUGUUGAGUCCCAAAGCAUUUUUCUGGACAAACUAAGCUACUGUAAAUAUUUACUGAGGGGAGUGGGGAGACAACACCUCCAAAAGAAGAGCUUAUUAGAGCAGGGGGUGGAGAGGAGGGAGACUAUUCUGACCCUUUGGCCAGCCAGGAUCCAGGAAAUAGAGUUCCAGAUUGGCAUAAAAACUUUGCAUGGCAAUGAGUCUCUCUUAGAAAUCUGUGCCUUUACGUUGAAUAAAGAUCUGAGUGUGGCCUCAAGCAAAUUCAAGCCCAUCAUGCUGGGCAGUGGUACAAGAGGGGGCCUCUUUCUGGCAGGGUGGGGAUGGGAAAUGAAGCCUGGAGAGAAUAGACGGUAGAUCUGAAAGGUCAAACUACAAAGUAAACAAAAAUCAUUUGUAAGUACUGACUGAUAAUAAGCAGUAUUAAUUAACAGUAGAUAGCAUUAAAAAUGAGGAGGAAACACAGCAAGGCCCUCAUUGCAAAAAUACUGUCCACUGCAGUUGCCAUUGAAUUCUUCUGAAAAACCAGGCAAACAUUUUCAAAAGAGAAUGCAGAAGCAGUGCACAUUCACGACUCCAGCUGAAGUCAGAGACUCAGCAUCUCUGAAAAGCAAAUGGAGACAAUUGAAAACCUGACAAGUGUUUGAAUAUGAGAUGCUAGAGGAAACUUAAAUCUAGGGGAAACCUGUGACAAAGCGACUUGUUCCCACAGAAACUGAAGCAACUGACGCUGUCACUAGAAAGGGCUCUGUUUGAGCAAUAAUAGUACACAGCAUUCAAAACUACAGGUAUUUAAGCCCAUGAUUAUGAGGCGAGAUGACUGUUCAUUAGGGCAGCAGAGCCCAACCUCUCUCAUUGUAAGAAACAGAGCGGACCCUGAUGACAAACGUUUCCUUUUACAUUUCCUCCCACAGUCCUUUCCUCAUCCUGGGGUACUGCAUUUAUUUAGCAGAACCUCAGGCUCUCAUAGGCCCUUUCCACCUAGCAUCUCAGGUCAGAAGCAUCUUUCUGAGUCAUUAAACAGCAAGAAAAAAAGAAGCAAACAGUCUAAACCAUCACUAAAUCCCCCUCCUCAGCUCUUUUGGCCACAGUCCCUGUACAGGCCUUCUGGCAUAUUCUGCUGAUCUCGCUAGGGCCUUUCCUAGCAACGGCCAGAAAGUUAUAUACUUCCUGAUGUGUAGGGCUAAUUAACAAGGGCCAUCUCCUAAAUGUUUAACCCCUGCUGGUCCUGGAUACCACCCUGUAGUGUGUAGAGAAGGGUAGUACGUUUUAUUUCCGGGGACCAAAUUAUGGUGCUUUCACUAUGGCUGGUUUCUCCCCCUGAACGCUGAAAGAGCCAUCACAGUAGCCUUUUUCAAAGACGAGGCCAGUAUAGAAGUGUUCAGAAUAGAUAACUAUAAUUAUAGUUACAGGGACAGAGCCUCAACUAGUGUAAAUCGGUGUGUCACUCCAUCAAAGUCAAUGGAACUAUGCCACCAUCUGAGGAUCUAGCAUGAUAAUUAGGUAAAGGGUUGAUGCAAUGGCACAAUGUGGAAGUUAUUACCGUUAGACAAAGAGUGUUGCUAUUAUUGCAGGUGGCAUUUCCACUUAGCUUCAGUGUAAGCUCUUACCUUGAAUGUCUGGGUUUUGAUCAGUGAUUCUUAUACUGUGGGCCAUGCAGAGCUGGUAGCAUGCAGGCUGCAACCAGGUGGUAGCUAUGCUGAUUAAACUAUACUGAUUAAAAUUACAAUGGCGGCACACCAAGGGCUUAUGGAAGUUUAGAUUUGGUGUGCUAGUGCUUAACAUUGUAGAAUGACUGUUUUAGAUUAACAGAAUCAAUAAAAGUCUAAAAAGAUAUUUAAUGGACAUGAGGUGUCUACCAUAAAUACAAUAGUCUGGGAUUUGAUCUAUUUUUUAUUUUAUUUUGAAACAGUGUUUUAUGUAUGGCUGUUUUUCUACUUGCACCACAAUUUUGUAGAAUUAUUAUUCUUCAUGGCUAUCUCCAAUUUGUAUGUUAUUAUUAUGGAGAUGAAGCAAGAUGUGGUAUCUGUUACAUUAAGUCAGCUCUCAGUUUUCUGCAUGCCUUUUUAUUAUAGUUCAUUAUCGUUCUUUUUUAAAAAAAGUUAGUUCCAAGCAGCUAAUUGUUGUUGGCUGCAUACAGUACCUAGAUAAUGUAUUUAACUAUAUUUAUAUCAUAUGAAGUAUGUAUUUAGUUAAUCAAUUGUAAAGUUUUCAUUAAA